rnacentral:rRNA from 1 species
GAUGAACGCUGGCGGCGUGCCUAAUACAUGCCAGUCGAGCGAACAGACGAGGAGCUUGCUCCUCUGACGUUAGCGGCGGACGGGUGAGUAACACGUGGAUAACCUACCUAUAAGACUGGGAUAACUUCGGGAAACCGGAGCUAAUACCGGAUAAUAUAUUGAACCGCAUGGUUCAAUAGUGAAAGACGGUUUUGCUGUCACUUAUAGAUGGAUCCGCGCCGCAUUAGCUAGUUGGUAAGGUAACGGCUUACCAAGGCAACGAUGCGUAGCCGACCUGAGAGGGUGAUCGGCCACACUGGAACUGAGACACGGUCCAGACUCCUACGGGAGGCAGCAGUAGGGAAUCUUCCGCAAUGGGCGAAAGCCUGACGGAGCAACGCCGCGUGAGUGAUGAAGGUCUUCGGAUCGUAAAACUCUGUUAUUAGGGAAGAACAAAUGUGUAAGUAACUAUGCACGUCUUGACGGUACCUAAUCAGAAGGCCACGGCUAACUACGUG